GAAGCUGAUGACGUGCUUUCUACCUGAUAAAAAUUGCUGAAACAAACGCAAAGACGUAUGCCUCGCAUUUAGGGAUUUGGGGCAGACUUUAAUUCAACGACAAUCGAAAGAGUCGAAACGAAACAAUCGAAAGAAACUGCAGCCGGAAAAUACAUUUUUAUGAUUUGGUUCGCCUCCGUUUCACAUAUUCGAGAUGAACAAUUAUAUCAAUCACUUAUAAUUCUGGAUUUCCCUUAUCGAUGACGCCAUCAGCCUAGACUCAACUCUAUGUAAGAUAGUCUGGAAUUUUCUAUAAUUUCACAAUCACAAUUUUAACUUAUCGUGGUAGCCUUGCAGAGUUCAGACUGUUGCCACGCAGUACAUAAUACGCUCUCAAAUUAAAUAUAAAACCUUCUUUUCACGUUAUAAAGCUUAAAGUCGAUUACAGCGGCUCGCCUGUGUGCGUAAUGCAUAUGUGUGAGCCCUGCGCGUUGCAUCGCGCCCUAGGUCAGUACACUUUAGUGCAUCCGUGCGACUGCAUCGCCUUUAUUCGCAAAAAAUCAUGAAUUAAAUCAGAUAUCAUGAAAAUCAUUCAGGAGUGUAUAAAAUGAAAACUCGUUCACAUUUUCCCGAUAACAGUGAAAGAAAAUGGAUAACUCGUCGUCUUUGUCCGACGCCAUGUUGUCAACGAAGAGAAAAACGGUGAAAUUCAACAUUAACGGAAAUAGACGAGGAAAUAUUAUGUUAAGGACAUUGGAUGCAGUUGACGAAAUCACCCAACCGAUGCACAAAUGAGGAUUCCAUGACUGUGUUGGUGAUGUUCCCAUAUGCCUUACUAGGAGUCCAUACGUCACGGGAAUUUAUUUUCAUUUCUUCUAUUACUAAGAGUUUAAUUUAGACGAGUACUUAUGAAUUAAAAUGAUGUUCAAGCUGGUUUCAAUAAAAGCACUGACGGAUCUUUGUCGAGAAAAUCUGCGAUUUCCUCGGAAACAACUGAGUCGAUAAGAUCUUUGCUCAUUUCGCAAUUAUUUCCGAUUUGUAUUUUAUCACAUAAUUUAAAAUGGAUAGCGGAAGUAAUCUCGUUUUGCCUGUCAAGUGUGUCAGGUAACGGCCGAUCAUUUGGAUAUAAAAAGCAAAACUAAUUAUCCAAAUGUAAAAAGAUGGCCCAUGCCCCGUGGGAGUGUUACAAGACUUCAUACUGAUUGUGGCCAUGGGUAAUAGAAAUAUUGUUUUCAUAGUUGUAUUUUCGUAGACAUACCUAUUUUAAAUCUAGAAUCAGCUCAGUAGUUAGUAUGUAUUUUGAUGUAUUUGCUUGUGUAACUGGUUAUGUUCUUUAUGGUUUUUAAUUUAAUUUUGUUUUUUUAAAAUAUGGCGACUGAACCAUUCUGUACACUAGCGAUAUGUAAAUGCACAUUUUGUUUCGGCUGCCAUGUCUACUUAAUGUUUUGUUGACCUAUUAUAAUUUUUCUCCCACUUAGCUUUGGACCCUCUCAACUGGGACCCGUAGACCCGAACUUGUGCGCAAAGUCGUAUGGAAGACUAGACUGUGACGAAUCCGUCUCACGUUUAUAACCGCAUAUUGCGUCCGCACAAAGUGCUUGGCGGACGAUUCUGCCCUUUCUUUAUCCGAUAUCCAAUUUAUUGUGCUAGGCUAAAUUUUAUAUAUCAGCACCAUAUUUUGUAUUGUUUAGAAGAGAAUAGGGAUUAUUAAGGAUAAUGACCGACCGAUCUAUUCUCAUCUGCAUUUAAUAUCACAAUAAUAUGACAAAAAGAACUAUUAUCUAUGUUAUUCCAAAGAGUACUUAUAAUCUGUGUUCAUGACGUCAUUUAUAUUUAAAAAAUUCAUAAAAGGUCAAUUAUCCAAGAUAGAAACAAUGUUUGGUCAAUCUCCUUGACAGCGGAAUGCGAAUUUCGUGUGACAGCUUUUAGUCGCACGUCUACGUCAUCCACACAAGUUUGGUGAUACGCGGGAACAGUUUUGGCGGGAUUUCGACGCUUCAACAUUUUUGGUUACCUUUUUAUUAUGUGUGUUGUGUUAUUAUUUCGUAGAAUUUGUUUUUAUAAAUUUAUAUAAUUCGCUUUCAUAUAGCUAGUUUUUGCAAAUAAUAACUUUCUCUUAGUAAAAUAUACUAAAAUGUAGAGUUACAAGUAUCUUCGUAAUUUGUUCAUUUAAAAUUUAUUUUUAACGUUAUCUAGGUAAAAUAGACCAUGUCGGGUUGAGGUAGUAGGUUGUAUAGUACAGUAUUACACCAUUUAGGAGAGACUGUAUAGCCUGCUAACUUUACUCGCUGUGGGACAUUCCACACGAAGACUAGGAAGACCAGAAGACUGCAGAGCACACUGGAGGACGAGAUAGAAGCAUACAUAAAAUAAUGGUACCUUUAUCUUAAUAACGUUAAUAUGCACAUAUUCCUUCUAAAAAGGA